rnacentral:rRNA from 1 species
GCAUCUAGCAUUCUACCCACAAUGGUUGGCCAUACAAUCGCGAUUCAUAAUGGAAAGGAACAUAUACCUGUUUACAUAACAAAUCCUAUGGUAGGUCGCAAAUUGGGGGAAUUCGUGCCUACUCGGCAUUUCACGAGUUAUGAAAAUGCAAGAAAGGAUACUAAAUCUCAUCGUUAA